GACCGCUCCGGUGGCCUAAAUAGUGUUUAAAGCGUCCGACUAGGAUGCGGUAGGCCGCGGGUUCGAACCCCGACCGAGUCA